GAUGAACGCUGGCGGCGUGCCUAAUACAUGCAAGUCGAGCGAACAGACGAGGAGCUUGCUCCUCUGACGUUAGCGGCGGACGGGUGAGUAAAACGGGGAUAACCUACCUAUAAGACUGGGAUAAAUUCGGGAAACCGGAGCUAAUACCGAAAAAAAUAUUGAACAGAAUGGUUAAAUAGUGAAAGACGGUUUUGAUGUCACUUAUAGAUAGAUCCGCGCUGCAUUAGCUAAUCGGUAAGGUAACGGCUUACCAAGGCAACGAUGCGUAGCCGACCUGAGAGGGUGAUAGGCCACACUGGCACUGAGACACGGUCCAGACUCCUACGGGAGGCAGCAGUAGGGAAUCCUCCGCAAUGGGCGAAAGCCUGAAGUUGCAACGCCGCGUGAGUGCUGAAGGUCUUCGGAUCGUAAAACUCUGUUAUUAGGGAAGUACAAAUGUUUAAGUAACUAUGCACGUCUUGACGGUACCUAAUCAGAAAGCCACGGCUAACUACGUG
rnacentral:rRNA from 1 species